rnacentral:misc_RNA from 1 species
CAGAGUUCUUGCCCUUCGGGGUAGAUCUCCCACCCGUGUGUUUUAUACCUUUGUUGCUUUGGCAGGCCGGCCCCGGCCACUGGCUCCAGCUAGUGAGUGCCUGCCAGAGGACUCCCAACUCUGAAUUAAUUGUCGUCUGAGUACUAUAUAAUAGUUA